GGCCCACGGCUGCUGGCCCGCGCAGGAAGGAUUGAGCCUGCUGGCUACUUUUUUAUUUUUCUUUUUUUGCGAAAAAGGAGAGAGCUCUAUUGAUUACUCAUUAUUUCAUGAGAGGAGAUGUUUUCUUUUUAUUAAAUACUAGCAAAUAUGCCCGUGCAUUGCAACGAAAAAAUAAAAAACUAUCCAACAUUCAUGGUGAACAACGUAUAAAUGGUACAUACUACCUUCGUUCCAAUUUACAUGUCAUUUUGACUUCUAAAUAUAUAACUUUUACUUUGUACAUCUAGACACAUCGUGUAUCUACGUGCGCAGCAAAAGUUAUUUAGACGACCUAUAAUUUAGUACAAAGGGCGGUAUUAUUUAUGUUUCAUCAUUUAAAAUUUAAUAUUUUUUCAUUCUAUCCAUGUGUUGCUAUAGUUCAAGAAAAACAAAGUAUACCGCUCUUAUGCUCACAUUCAAUUUAGCAAUUUGAGCCUGUUGCUAUAGUUUAAUUUUAGCCUCAAAAUAACAUUGUCGCUAGCCCAUUUAUUACAAUGCUAUAGUUAAAUACUGUUUUUUGUGCCAUUUGAGACCAUAAAAAUCUAUAAUUUUAAUCUCUGACUAAAGUCAACAAAAAGUUAGUUACUGACAUGUUUAUGAUUAAUCUAUCCUCUUAGAUUAUGAUGGGAAACUAAAUCUAGUUUUCACAUGCUAACCCUCAUCAGUGAUUGUAAAGAUACACUUAUUUAGACCAGAUUAGAUAAUAAAACUAUUUAAAAUUGUAUCCAUAUUUUGAUUAAUUGAAUCACAUGUUAAUCAAGGUUUAAAUAAGAAUAUGUUUCUAAUAAAAAUUACAUUAACAACUUGACAAUAAAAUUUUUUUGCUUGGACAAAAAUCAACGAUUCAAAGGUCCAUAACUUUUCUUUUAGAAAAAGUAAAGUCAAUGGAAAAAGUCACCUAAGAGGAUAACUGGUGAAAAAAAAUAAAAUUUCAAAUAAAGUAAUCGGAUGGAAGAUAAAAAAAAGUCAAAUGAUGUGCACCCAAGGAAACGAAAGAAAGAAAACCAAUAUUUAUUAGACACAAACUGAAUCGGACAUGGAUCCGGUAAAGAGGAUCAGGGACAUUAUAACAUGAUUAUAGUGGUUUGAAAAAGUUAUUUUAUGGCAGAAGUUUUAUGAUAAAUUAAAAAGGUAUUGUUUAAUACUCUCUCCGUCCCA
rnacentral:lncRNA from 1 species